CUAACUGUGUACCUACAGAGGAGAUCUGCCUGCUGCAUCCAGAGGAGAGGAGGUUUGGAGCUUGGGUACGGCUUCUCUAUGAUUCUGCGUUUGGUGAUCAGAAACUUGGUGUUUCCAAGCUGUUCAACUGAGGAAUAGGCCUUAGACCAGGAGACUCUUGGAUGGAUGCCCUGUCUCUUGCUUACUGCAUAAACUGUGAGCCCUUGGAGGAUAGGUAGGUUCCCUUUUGUGAGGUAUGCAGUGUCAGCAGUCAGUUGUCCCACCAUCUGGGCUGCUCUCUGAAAUUCCACUGGGGUGAGGAGUUCCAGAUGGCAGCCCUGCUGGACCCUGUCCCAAAGGCCACCUGAUGGAACUUGCUACGGGUUCCUGAUGCUAUGUGGUUGGUCCAAGAGGAGUGUCACACUUUCAGAGAAAAAUGCCAAGUUUCCCACGGGAGGUAGACAGACCAUGGAGGAAACCAUGGAGACGGUGGCUUGAGAAUAAAAGAUAGAUGGCCUCCAGGUCCAGGGAGGGUCGAGCAGGGCCACUCUCUAGAACCCAGAGGCUCCGGAGCCCUCUGCUAGGAGGAUCUGUUGUCUGCUCUGAGCUGACCUUGAGGAGGACCUACGAGUGGGUGGUCAGGACAGUAGAAGAUUUUCUACUUUCUACAUGGUACUUUCUUCAAGGUGUGAUCCACUAAACAUCAUAAAUGGGCUUUUGACCACUAGGAAGAUAGCCAUUGAACAAGCACAUCCAUGUUGCUAUGACUGCUGGUAAGAGCUACUUUGCGACUACCUAGAAGAACAAGAGUCCUGACACAUUCUGGGAGUGAGAAGGGCUGACAUGUAAAGGAUGAGCAGUAGUUAGCUUGAUGAAAGGGAACUUCACGGUUUGUGUGUGUGUGUGUAGGUGCAGAAUACUGAGUGUGGUAGCACCAUCUACAAAGGCCCCAUGACAAGAGAGGAGGCUAGAGGACAGGAAUGGGCAAUGAGAAGGGAAGAGGGGAGUGAGUGAGUGAGUGAGUGAGAAAACGAAGGAGGCAGCAUGGUCAGACUGCAUGGCUUUUGGAAACACCAGUCUAUUCUAAAAGCAGUCUGGGCUUCUAGAUGCAGACAGGUGUCUCACAGGACAGAUCAGCUUCUCUGAGCAAGGGUGGUCGGACUGGAUGAGUACACUGGGCCCGCUUCCGUCCAUGGUAUCUGGGUCCAGGGAACUUAUGCCCACUGCAAGAGAGGCUGACAAGGCUCCAUAUGGGUUCUACCACUCUCUGGGGUUUCUACUUUCUGGGGGUACAGAAAAUAGAAACAUGACUCAGAGUUCCUGCCUCAUGGAGUCUGGGAGCUUUCCUCCUCAUGGAUCUGGGAGCUUCCAGGAACACAUCAAGGAAGAAGGAGGUGAGGACAGAGUUGGUUGAGGGAGAGAGUAGCAAGACAGCUGUUGUAGAGCAGAGUUUACCGGGUUCCCCGUUCUCAGUUCCAAAGCUAGGGUCUUUGUUAUAUAGUAGAGGGUUUCCAUUGCACCCCACUAACAGUGCAAAUCUUGGGGACAGAGGACCAACUAGUGCUCAGGCCUCCCACUGGAACACUCUUGGCCUUCCUAGAGCUCACUACUAUACAACACAGGUGUCACGUCUCAACACCCACCCAGCUUACCUGCAGAUCCCAGAAGAGCCAAGAGGUUCCGAGGGCACCCUUAAUGAGACAAGGCAUCUGAUGACACCUUCCAUUACACCAGGCACCAGGACAGAAAGCAAGCUGUUCUGCGGCACCAGAACAUAUGAAAAGGAAGCGCAGUUUUCCACACACAGUCGCUUCCCGUCUCAGACCCCAUGACUGCAGAGUUCCAGAAAGUAAACACUGUAGAUCCAAGCAGAGUGCCAGAUGGUGGGCUGAAGUAGAACCAGCGCACAGAGACUGGAACACACAGGGCUGGGAGCUCCUUGCUCUCUUCGUCUGCUUCCACCUAUUCAGAUGUCUCCAGGGUUCAGGAAUAGAAGGAGAGAGAGAGAGAGAGAGAGAGAGAGAGAGAGAGAGAGAGAGAGAGAGAGAGAGAAGCUCCAGACCUUCUCCCUGGUGCUUAGAGAUGCAGAAAUUCAGAAUGCUUUUCAGUUUGGGGCUACUACCGUGACUGAUAUGUCCAGAAAGUUUCACUGAAGAGACAUCAGGCAUCUAAGGAUCGCUUGACACAGUGGAAUACCAGGCACACAGUGGGAAGCUUCUCCCAGUGGGUUGCUAACAGAUGAAGAGCAGAAACAGGAAUGGGUCCUUCCUCUUAAGGUUCCUGCCACCUUAGACUGGAGACCAAGCCUGCAGGACGUGAAGCUUGGGAAGUCAGAUCACGCUCCAAGAAUGGAGUCGUAUGAGGAGGAUUCUGAGUGCUUGGGAGAAAACUCCAAGAAACCAGGACGAGAGAUUUGUGAUUUCAGUUUCUUCAAAGUCACAAAAUUUUUCUUGGAUUAUGCUUUUGUGCCCCUCCCAGAUGUAGCAAUUGACUUCAGAUUAUUCAUCAUAACUGGCUAUUAUUUGUUUAUACACCUCUAUGGAAAAUCCAUGUGUGGCUUUGGCCUGGUGACUGUACACUUUACUCACUUGGCUCUGAGUAACCCUCAAAGUAUAAAUUGUCUGAUGCUCUGAACAAAGCUGUGGUGGUGGUAGCACUUGUCUUUAAUCCCUGCACUCCAGAGACAGACAGAGG
rnacentral:lncRNA from 1 species